CACGUAGGGGGCAAGCGUUAUUCGGAAUUAUUAGGCGUAAAGGGCGCGUAGGCGGCAUCGCAAGUGGAAGGUGAAAUCCCUCGGCUUAACCGAGGAACUGCCCUCCAAACUGCGUUGCUUGAGGCCGGGAGAGGUGAGUGGAAUUCCCAGUGUAGCGGUGAAAUGCGUAGAUAUUGGGAGGAACACCAGUGGCGAAGGCGGCUCACUGGACCGGUUCUGACGCUGAGGCGCGAA
rnacentral:rRNA from 1 species